rnacentral:rRNA from 1 species
GAUGAACGCUGGCGGCGUGCGUAACACAUGCAAGUUGAACGACGGUGUCAUGAAGUGGUAACACGGAAUGGCAUACGGAGUAGCGGACGGGUGAGUACAACAUGAGAAGCUGUCCUUCAGCGGGGGGCAACGUCUGGAAGCGGACGCUAAUACCCCAUAGGCCGAGAGGUUAAAGCAGAGAUGCGCUGGAGGAGGUGCUCGUGCCCUAUCAGCUAGUUGGUGAGGUAACGGCUCACCAAGGCGACGACGGGUAGCCGGCCUGAGAGGGUGAACGGCCACACUGGAACUGAGAUACGGUCCAGACUCCUACGGGAGGCAGCAGUGGGGAAUAUUGGGCAAUGGGAGGAAUCCUGACCCAGCGACGCCGCGUGAACGAUGAAGGCCUUAGGGUUGUAAAGUUCUUUUAUGUGGGAAGAAGGAAGUGACGGUACCACAUG